rnacentral:rRNA from 1 species
AGUGGCGAACGGGUGAGUAACACGUGAGUAACCUGCCCCUGACUCUGGGAUAAGCGUUGGAAACGACGUCUAAUACUGGAUAGGACUACUGGCCGCAUGGUCUGGUGGUGGAAAGAUUUUUUGGUUGGGGAUGGACUCGCGGCCUAUCAGCUUGUUGGUGAGGUAAUGGCUCACCAAGGCGACGACGGGUAGCCGGCCUGAGAGGGUGACCGGCCACACUGGGACUGAGACACGGCCCAGACUCCUACGGGAGGCAGCAGUGGGGAAUAUUGCACAAUGGGCGAAAGCCUGAUGCAGCAACGCCGCGUGAGGGAUGACGGCCUUCGGGUUGUAAACCUCUUUUAGUAGGGAAGAAGCGAAAGUGACGGUACCUGCAGAAAAAGCACCGGCUAACUACGUGCCAGCAGCCGCGGUAAUACGUAGGGUGCAAGCGUUGUCCGGAAUUAUUGGGCGUAAAGAGCUCGUAGGCGGUUUGUCGCGUCUGCUGUGAAAUCCCGAGGCUCAACCUCGGGCUUGCAGUGGGUACGGGCAGACUAGAGUGCGGUAGGGGAGAUUGGAAUUCCUGGGUGUAGCGGUGGAAUGCGCAGAUAUCAGGAGGAACACCCGAUGGCGGAAGGCAGAUCUCUGGGCCGUAACUGACGCUGAGGAGCGAAAGCAUGGGGAGCGAACAGGAUUAGAUACCCUGGUAGUCCAUGCCGUAAACGUUGGGCGCUAGAUGUAGGGACCUUUCCACGGUUUCUGUGUCGUAGCUAACGCAUUAAGCGCCCCGCCUGGGGAGUACGGCCGCAAGGCUAAAACUCAAAGGAAUUGACGGGGGCCCGCACAAGCGGCGGAGCAUGCGGAUUAAUUCGAUGCAACGCGAAGAACCUUACCAAGGCUUGACAUACACCGGAAACGGCCAGAGAUGGUCGCCCCCUUGUGGUCGGUGUACAGGUGGUGCAUGGUUGUCGUCAGCUCGUGUCGUGAGAUGUUGGGUUAAGUCCCGCAACGAGCGCAACCCUCGUUCUAUGUUGCCAGCGCGUUAUGGCGGGGACUCAUAGGAGACUGCCGGGGUCAACUCGGAGGAAGGUGGGGAUGACGUCAAAUCAUCAUGCCCCUUAUGUCUUGGGCUUCACGCAUGCUACAAUGGCCGGUACAAAGGGCUGCGAUACCGUAAGGUGGAGCGAAUCCCAAAAAGCCGGUCUCAGUUCGGAUUGAGGUCUGCAACUCGACCUCAUGAAGUCGGAGUCGCUAGUAAUCGCAGAUCAGCAACGCUGCGGUGAAUACGUUCCCGGGCCUUGUACACACCGCCCGUCAAGUCAUGAAAGUCGGUAACACCCGAAGCCGGUG